UACGGAGGGUGCGAGCGUUGUCCGGAAUCACUGGGCGUAAAGGGUGCGUAGGCGGCGCGGUAAGUCGGGUGUGAAAUCUCGGAGCUUAACUCCGAAACUGCAUUCGAUACUGUCGUGCUUGAGGACUGGAGAGGAGACUGGAAUUUACGGUGUAGCGGUGAAAUGCGUAGAUAUCGUAAGGAAGACCAGUGGCGAAGGCGGGUCUCUGGACAGUUCCUGACGCUGAGGCACGAAGGUCAGGGGAGCAAACGGG
rnacentral:rRNA from 1 species